CUCAUAUGCUGCGACGGCUACGACGACAAUCGGUGCUGUCGCACGCGUCUCAAUGCGAUUUUGAGAGGGCUCAUUUCACAUGAUUGCGAUUUCAACAA
rnacentral:lncRNA from 1 species